ACGUUCGGGUAAUCGCUGCAAGAAGCAUUUGCUUGCUUGUAGAGGAAAGUCCAUGCUCGCACGAGCUGAGAUGCUCGUAGUGUUCGUGCCUAGCGAAAACAUAAGCUAGGGCAGUUUGAGCCAUUGGUUUGGCUGACGGCCGGGAAAAUACCUAAGUCCCAAAAGGAUAUGGUAUGAAUACCUAUAAAAGUGCCACAGUGACGGAGCCUUUUCAGAAAUGAAAAGGGUGGAACGAGGUAAACCCCGCGAGCGAGAAACCCAAAUAAUGGUAGGGGCACUUUCUCUGAGGAAUUGAACGAGGAGAAGGACAGAUUCCUUGCGAAUCUGUAGAUAGAUGAUUACCACCUAAGUACGAGACGUAUAAACGUCGUUUGUAGUACACUGGUACAGAACAUGGCUUACAGAA
rnacentral:RNase_P_RNA from 1 species